rnacentral:tRNA from 1 species
UCCCGUGUGGCUCAGUAAGUAGAGCAUGGCGCUUGCGAUGCCAGGGUUGUGAGUUCAAUUCCCUGGGGAA